UGUACUUUAUUCCGACCGUCCCCUCUCGCAAGUGCCCCUCCCGUCACUCCGUCAGUGCCGCUUUUGUUUAUCGUUUGUAACUUUUUUUUUUUUUUUAACGUUUUGAGAUUUGAUUACAUGCUUGCUUCUUGUUUAGGUCUUUGUGCUACAUCUGUUUAUAACUUAAUGAAUAUUGUACCUCUUGUUAUUAACAUUUGGAAUUUAUUAAUUUGUUCAAAAAAU
rnacentral:lncRNA from 1 species